AUAAAAGUGUCAAAGGGUGUGAAUCGAACCCACAGUGUUCCGCUUACCGGGCAGAUGCCAUGUCCACUAGGCACUUUUA
rnacentral:tRNA from 1 species